GCGGCAGUAGCUCAGUGGUAGAGCCACCGCUUCGCAUGCGAGGAGAUCUGGGUUCGAUUCCAGGCUGCUACC
rnacentral:tRNA from 1 species